GACGAACGCUGGCGGCGUGCUUAACACAUGCAAGUCGAACGGAAAGGCCCUGCUUUUGUGGGGUGCUCGAGUGGCGAACGGGUGAGUAACACGUGAGUAACCUGCCCUUGACUUUGGGAUAACUUCUGGAAACUGGGGCUAAUACCGGAUAGGAGCUCCUGCUGCAUGGUGGGGGUUGGAAAGUUUCGGCGGUGGGGGAUGGACUCGCGGCUUAUCCGCUUGUUGGUGGGGUAGUGGCUUACCAAGGCUUUGACGGGUAGCCGGCCUGAGAGGGGGACCGGCCACAUUGGGACUGAGGUACGGCCCAGACUGCUACGGGAGGCAGCAGUGGGGAAUAUUGCACAAUGGGCGGAAGCCUGAGGCGGCGACGCCGCGUGCGGGAUGACGGCCUUCGGGUUGUAAACCGCUUUCGCCGGUGACGAAGCGUGAGUGACGGUAAUGGGUAAAAAAGCACCGGCUAACUACGUG
rnacentral:rRNA from 1 species